rnacentral:rRNA from 1 species
UACGGGGGGAGCAAGCGUUAUCCAGAUUUAUUGGGUUUAAAGGGUGCGCAGGCGGGGCUUUAAGUCAGUGGUGAAAUCUCUUCGCUUAACGAAGAAACUGCCAUUGAUACUGAAGUUCUUGAAUCUGGUUGACGUUAGUGGAAUGUGUCAUGUAGCGGUGAAAUGCUUAGAUAUCAGGAGGAACACCUAUUGCGAAGGCAGCUCGCUGGGACGUUACUGACGCUGAGACGCGAAAGCGUGGGGAGCAAACAGG